rfam:Asian citrus Psyllid, Diaphorina citri - Florida Strain, whole genome shotgun sequence.
CGGUGCGGUGAUAGUAAGUUGAAUGAACCAGUUCCCCAUUUAUCACUGAAGUUGAGCAACUUUGCGCUUGGUUAGUAUCCGAAUGGGUGACCAUUUGGGAAAUCGCGAGCUGCUGGCU